ensembl:misc_RNA Metazoa_SRP Metazoan signal recognition particle RNA
GCUGGGUGUGGUGGUGCGUGCCUGUAAUCCCAGCUACUCAGGAGGCUGAGGCAGGAGAAUUGCUUGAACCCAGGAGGCUGAGGUUGCAGUGAGCCAAGAUCGCACACUGCACUCCAGCCUGGGCAACAGAGCAAGACUCUGUCUCAA